CCCUAUGGGUGGCGGUAGUGGGGAUACCUUCGGGUAUGCCGGUUUUCCGUUGUGUACCGGUUCGCCAACCCCGCUAUUUGCCGCCCACCCGU
rnacentral:antisense_RNA from 2 species